GGCCCAAUGGUCAAGAGGUUAAGACACCACCCUUUCACGGUGGAAUCCCGGGUUCGAUUCCCGGUUGGGUCACCA
rnacentral:tRNA from 1 species